AUCACAGGGAUUGCCUACCCCAACUCCUGCCCCACCUGCUCAGGCAGGUCCCAUUGUGCCUCAAGGAUAAGCCCAUGGUGAACUUCCAAGGGUACGCCAUCCAGGGAAGGCCAACAGAAGCCACUAGUCAAGUGGCUUGACUAGUUCAAGACAAGCAGAUCUCCAGGCAUCUGUUUUCAUCUUGUUAACCUUCUCACUAGAGAAGAGUUUGAAUUGCUGCCUCUCUGGGUGUGUGGAGAUAGCCACUGGAUUGUGAGCCAGAGAGGACAGGGACUGGGGCUUUUUGUUUUUCCUCCAAAUCUCCCAACACGAGUACAUUGUAGGUGCCCAUUGAGUGCUUGCUGAAUGGAGGAAUGGUUAGCUACUGCCUCCUACUUCUCGUUGCAGGACAUCAAUAUCUUUCUAAAAUCAUAGUAAUGUGAAGGCUAUCCAGAAAGUCAAAAGGUUCCACAGAGUUGGCCACAAAACAGAGUAGCCCCCUGCCCUCUGCUUUAUUUCCCCCUCCCAGAGAUUAUUUUAUCUCUUUUGGCUGAUUAUUUUAUCUCUUUUAGCUGAUUAUUUUGGUAUCUAGUAUCUAUUUCUAAAUAGGCUGCUUAUUAUUAAAGCUAGAUAUUUCAGUUCCAGGCGUUAUCUACUAAAUUCCCACUGUGGGGUCAUCCUUCGCUCUCCCAAUGUAGUUAUUUCAGGAUUUUCGUUAGGUCAGUAUUCAACGUUUAUGUUAUUAUGACUAUGUAAAUGCUAGUUGCAGCUGAGCCGUGUUGUACACUAUGAUUGCUUUAUCUUUCCUUGACAGCUUUUCCCCCCGGGAGUUAAUAACUGUCUUUUUUUUUCUUUUUGUUGUUUGCUUAGUUUUCUGUGUACUUAUUACUAAUUCGACCUUAAACUCUUCACCAAGUGCCCAAAUUCUCCCCCUAAGGCAUUCUGAUGCACCAGGAAUUCCAGCAAUUUUGUUACCUUGAAAAAUCUUCCUUCUUGAGGACCCCAAUUUGCUCUGCACUGGACUGGUUCCUCCUGGCGUGGCACACAGCUGUCACUCUGGAGUUCCUGCAUCACCAUGCUAGAGCUCCCUUAUCCCUUCUUUGGGUUUGAAUCUUUCAUUUUUUGUCUUCCUGUUUCUUCCUGUUUGUCUUCCUGUUUCUCUACUUUACUCGCCCAUUUUGUUAAAGCACAUUUCCAGCCACUUCCCAAGCAGGGUUGAAAAGACUUUCAUUCUGUUCUUCUAAGUACUUGGCACUUAAAGUAUAUUUUAACCACCCCACCCGUUCCUUCAUUUUCAUUUCAUUUCCUCGUGCUGUUCAUUCAUUAUUGUUGGCAUUCUCCACUGUCAGUCUUAAGACGCAGAUGUUUGCAUGUCUGUGUUAAUCUACUUUCCAUCCACUAAAAUUUGGUUGUUUCUUCUGCAAUGCCCUUUAUUUUGGUGGGUUUAAUUCUAGUCUGGACAUUUUUCUUCAAGAUUUUGAAGACAUUGUUUUAUUGCUUUUAGCUUCCAAUGUUGCCCUUGAGAAGUCAGAAUUAUUCUGACUAUUGAUUCUUCUAGAUGACUUCUUAACAUCUCUGGAAGCUUAUAGCAUUCUCAGUGUUUUGAAGUUUCAUGAUGAUGGGCCUUGGUGUGGGCCCACUAUGUUAAGCUGUUAGGAGGUCUUUCUUUCUUUUUAUCAUCUGGGGAGAAUCAGUGCUUAUGAGGGUUUUUCAAUUCUGAAAAUGUAUGCCCUUAUAUUCUGGGGGAGAAAUAUAUAUAUAAUGUGAUAGUCAGCCUCCAAAUGGCUUCCAGUGAUCCUGUCUCUGGUAGUCACACCCUUGUGCAGUUUACCCUUGUACUGGACCAGGGUUGAUCUCUGUGACCAAUAGCCUACAGCAGAAAUGAUAGUAUGUCACUUCUGAGAUUGGGGUAUGAAAGAUAGUGCAGUCUUGGAUCACUUGCUUUGGGAAAUGCCAGCGACCAUGUUGACCAGCCUUAUGGGAGGCCCGUGUGGCAAGAAACUGAGGACUCCUGCCAAUAUCCAGCUGGUAACUGAGGCUUCUUGAAGCCCUGUGAGUGAGUCACUUUGAAAGUGGAUUCUGUAGCUCCAUUCAAGCCUUCAGAUGAAACUGCAGCCCUUGCCAACAACGUGACUGCAACUUCACGGGAGACCCUGAGCCAGAACUAUCCUAUUAGGCUGCUCCCAGAUUCCUGACCCUCAGAAAUUGGGCUCAGAUGUGAGAUCUCAGAAUCCUUUUCCAUGCAUGUUCCUGGAAGCCACUGAGAAUUGACUGGGAAGUGGGGAGCACACCAGAUGAAACAUACACGCCAUUUCUGGUUGGGUCUUUUAUCCCCAGCCUCAGUUGAACAGGCUUCAGUUCACAUCGUUUUAGCCAAAACUCAUCUAUGCACGGUCUUUUCAGAACAGAUUAGGGUAGAAUUUUGUGGUUUUUUUUGUGACGAAAAUAACCUUAGUAAUUUUGUUUUUGUUUUGGUAACUCAGGACAACUCACACCCCCUGGUUGUCUUGAUUUUUUAUUUAAAUGCUGAGUUUAAGUGCUUGUGCAGUUGGUUUCUUGAACUGAACAGCACACUUUAUGUUUAUUCUAUUGCAUGUCAUUGUCUUUUUAUUCUAAGCAAGAGGUCAGCAAAUUAUGGCCCACAGGCCAAAUCUGGCUCACCCUCUGUUUUUGUAAAUAAAGUUUUAUUGGAACACAG
rnacentral:lncRNA from 1 species